AUCACUUCCUGGCCUUUUGGCUAAUAUCAAGUGUAGUAUGUGUUCUUAUCAGUUUAAUAUCUGAUGUGUCCUCUAUCCAAGGAUAAUAUAUUACAUGGACUUUUGGAGCUGGGACUUGGAAUUGAAGAUUGCUGCGCCCACUCUGCACAUUGACCUGGGACUGCAGUGCCUCCUGGAAAGGUGCAUCCCUC
ensembl:snRNA U2 U2 spliceosomal RNA